CACAAUGCGGAACAAUGUUUUGCAAUUGGAUUGAGAACAACGUACAAACCUUAUCGAUAAACAAUUGGAGGGCAAGUCUGGUGCCAGCAGCCGCGGUAAUUCCAGCUCCAAUAGCGUAUAUUAACGUUGUUGCAGUUAAAAAGCUCGUAGUUGAAAUGAAGGGUAGUUGUGUAAUGAAUACAUUCGUGUAUUUUGUUAUUCUACUACCCUCCUUCUAAAUUCGAUAUAUGAGUAUUAAUUUACUUGUAUAUGGUUUUAGACGUUUACUGUGAGAAAAUUAGAGUGUUCAAAGCAGGCAUUUGCUUGAAUAUAUUAGCAUGGAAUAAUCAUGUAUGAUUUUCAUGAUGUAUUUGAUUGGUUUGGUUCAUGAGAAUAAGAUUAAAAGGGACAGUUGGGGGUAUUCAUAUUCAAUAGUCAGAGGUGAAAUUCUCGGAUUUAUGGAAGAUGAACA
rnacentral:rRNA from 1 species